GUAGGUGGCAAGCGUUGUCCGGAAUUAUUGGGCGUAAAGCGCGCGCAGGCGGUCCUUUAAGUCUGAUGUGAAAGCCCACGGCUCAACCGUGGAGGGUCAUUGGAAACUGGGGGACUUGAGUACAGAAGAGGAAAGCGGAAUUCCAAGUGUAGCGGUGAAAUGCGUAGAGAUUUGGAGGAGCACCUGUGGCGAAGGCGGCUUUCUGGUCUGUAACUGACGCUGAGGCGCGAAAGCGUGGGGAGCAAACAGGAUUAGAUACCCUGGUAGUCCACGCCGUAAACGAUGAGUGCUAAGUGUUAGGGGGUUUCCGCCCCCCUUAGUGCUGCAGCUAACGCAUUAAGCACUCCGCCUGGGAGUACGGCCGCAAGGCUG
rnacentral:rRNA from 1 species